rnacentral:rRNA from 1 species
UACGAAGGGGGCUAGCGUUGUUCGGAUUUACUGGGCGUAAAGCGCACGUAGGCGGAUCGUUAAGUCGGGGGUGAAAUCCUGGAGCUCAACUCCAGAACUGCCUUCGAUACUGGCGAUCUCGAGUCCGGAAGAGGUGAGUGGAACUCCUAGUGUAGAGGUGGAAUUCGUCGAUAUUAGGAAGAACACCAGUGGCGAAGGCGACUCACUGGUCCGGUACUGACGCUGAGGUGCGAAAGCGUGGGGAGCAAACAGG